rnacentral:misc_RNA from 1 species
AACGCACAUUGCGCCCCUUGGUAUUCCGGGGGGCAUGCCUGUUCGAGCGUCAUUAUAACCCUCAAGCCUAGCUUGGUGUUGGAGCAUGCUAUCUAGCAGCUCUUAAAAUCAGUGGCAGUGGCAGUGCCCUUCGGCUCUAAGCGUAGUAACUUCUCUCGCUAUGGAAACCGGAUGGUACGCGCCAAAACCCCCAACUUUCUAUGGUUGACCUCGGAUCAGGUAGGGAUACCCGCUGAACUUAA